rnacentral:rRNA from 1 species
GUAGAAGUAUGUAAGGGUGUAUGGCGGAUGCCUAGGCUCUCAGAGGCGAAGAAGGACGUGAGACACUGCGAAAAGCUACGACGAGGUGUGCACUACCCAGUGACUCGUAGAUAUCCGAAUGGGGCAACCCACUUGGUUGAAGACCAAGUAUCCAUUUAUGGAGGUAAACGCAGGGAACUGAAACAUCUAAGUACCUGUAGGAGAAGAAAACAAAAGUGAUUUCCCUAGUAGUGGCGAACGAACGGGAAUUAGCCCAAACCAACAAGGUUUCGGCCUAGUUGGGGUUGUAGGACCACGAUAUAGAAUAUGAAGCUAGAA